UACAGAGGGGGCAAGCGUUGUUCGGAAUUACUGGGCGUAAAGGGCGCGUAGGCGGCCCGCUAAGUCGAACGUGAAAUCCCCGAGCUCAACUCGGGAACUGCGUCCGAUACUGGCGGGCUUGAAUCCGGGAGAGGGAUGCGGAAUUCCAGGUGUAGCGGUGAAAUGCGUAGAUAUCAGGAGGAACACCGGUGGCGAAGGCGGCUUCCUGGACAAAGACUGACGCUGAGGCGCGAAAGCUAGGGGAGCAAACAGG
rnacentral:rRNA from 1 species